CGCCAGCCUGACGGAGCCAGACCGCGUGGGGGAGGAAGGCCCUUGGGUUGUAAACCCCUUUUCUCAGGGAAGAAACCUGACGGUACCUGAGGAAAAAGCCUCGGCUAACUCCGUGCCAGCAGCCGCGGUAAUACGGAGGAGGCAAGCGUUAUCCGGAAUUACUGGGCGUAAAGCGUUCGUAGGGGGCUCGUCAAGUCUGCUGUCAAAGCUCGGAGCUCAACUCCGGUAGAGCAGUGGAAACUGGUGCGCUAGAGGGCGACAGGGGUAGAGGGAAUUCCCAGUGUAGCGGUGAAAUGCGUAGAGAUUGGGAAGAACACCGGUGGCGAAAGCGCUCUGCUAGACCGAAUCUGACGCUGAGGGACGAAAGCUAGGGGAGCG
rnacentral:rRNA from 1 species